rnacentral:rRNA from 1 species
GAUGAACGCUGGCGGCGUGCCUCAUACAUGCAAGUCGAGCGAAGCGGGGACGGGUGAGUAACACGUGGAUAACCUCCUAUAAGACUGGGAUAACUUCGGGCAACAGGAGCUAAACCGGAUGCUUAUAGAUGGAUCCGCGCUGCAGUAGCUAGUUGGUAAGGUAACGGCUUACCAAAGAAACGAGGCAUAGCCGACCUGAGAGGGUGCUCGGCCACUCUGGAACUGAUACACGGUCCAUACUCCUACGGGAGGCAGCAUUAGGGAAUCUUCCGCAAUGGGCGCAAGCCUGACGGAGCAACGCCGCGUGAGUGUGUAAGGUCUUCGGAUCGUAAAACUCUGUUAUUAGGUAAGCGGUACCUAAUCAGAAAGCCACGGCUAACUACGUGCCAGCCGCCGCGGUAAUUC